CCUUGUUGAUCCUACCAGUAGUCAUAUGCUUGUCUCAAAGAUUAAGCCAUGCAUGUGUAAGUAUGAACUAACUCAGACUGUGAAACUGAUUGCUCAUUAAAUCAGUUAUAGUUUGUUUGAUGGUAUAUACUACUCGGAUAACCGUAGUAAUUCUAAAGCUAAUAUGUGCAACAAACCCCUACUUCUGGAAGGGAUGCAUUUAUUAGAUAAAAGGCUAACGUGGGCUCUGCCCGUUGCUCUGGUGAUUCGUGACAACUUGACGGAUUGCACAGCCAUCGUGCUGGUGAUGGUAUGAUAAUGGCCUCCCAUGGUGGUGACGGGUGACGGAGAAUUAGGGUUCGAUUCCGGAGAGGGAGCGUGACAAACGGCUACCACACCCAAGGAAGGUAGCAGGUGCGCAAAUUACCUAAUCCUAACACGGAGAGGUAGUGACAAUAAAUAACAAUGCCCGGCUCAUAGAGUCUAGUAAUUGGAAUAAGAACAAUCUAAAUCCCUUAACAUGGAUCCAUUGGAGGGCAAGUGUGGUGCAUGCAGCCGCAGUAAUUCCAGCUCCAAUAGUGUAUAUUUAAGUUGUUGCAGUUAAAAACCUCGUAGUUAGACCUUGGGUUGGGUUGACCAGGUCAUACGAUCCUAGCCUUAAUUGGCCGGGUCGUGCCUCCGGUGCUAUUGCUUUGAAGAAAUUAGAAGGCUCAAAGCAAGCCUACGCUCUGAAUACAUUAGCAUGGGAUAACAUCAUAGGAUUUCGGUCCUAUUCUGUUGGCCUUCGGGAUCGAAGUAAUAAUUAACAGGUACAGUUGGGGGCAUUCGUAUUUCAUUGUCAUAGGUGAAAUUCUUGGAUUUAUGAAAGACGAACAAUUGCGAAAGCUUUUGCCAAUGAUGUUUUCAUUAAUCAAGAACAAAAGUUGGGGGCUCGAAGACGAUCAGAUAUCGUCCUAGUCUCAACCAUAAACGAUGCCGACCAGAGAUCCGCGGAUGUUACUUUUAGGACUCCACCGACACCUUAUGAGAAAUCAAAGUUUUUGGAUUCCGAAGGGGGGGGGGGUAAGUAUGGUUGCAAGGCUGAAACUUAAAGGAAUUGACAGAAGGGAACCACUAGGAGUGGAGCCAGUGGCUUAAUUUGACUCAACAUGGGGGAACUUACCAGGUGCACAUAGUAAAGACUGAUUGACUGAGAGCUCUUUCUUGAUUCUAUGGAUGGUGGUGCAUGACCGCUCUUAAUUGGUGGAGUGAUUUGUCUGGUUAAUUUUGUUAACGAAUGAGACCUCAAUGAAUUGCAUAGAUGAAGAAUGUAACAAAAUGUCAUACUUGGUGUGAAUUGCAUAAUCCCAUGAACCAUCUAGCCUUUGAUCACAAGUUGUGCACGAAGCCAUUAGGCCGAGGGCACGUGUGCCUGGGCAUCACAUGUCGUUGCCCUCCUACUACUCCCUCGGGAUUGUAGAGGGAGGAUGAUGGCCUCUUGUAUGCUCCAUCGCAUGGUUGGCACAAAUACCAAGUCCUCGGCGAUGCACACCACGACAAUUGGUUGUUGUGAAACCUUGCAGUCGUCACGCAUCAAGGGCUUGAAAAAAUGCUUUGUUACGGGUUAGCUUUCUAUGCAACCCCUAGUCAGGCUAGAUUACUCGCUGAAUUUAAACAUAUCAAUAAGCGGAGGAAAAGAAA
rnacentral:rRNA from 1 species